GCAGAACGGAUCAGCGUGAGGACAGAGAGGAGGGAGCCCCUCCCCCAAAGACCACCGACAGGACACCCCCAGGACCUGGACCUGGACCCGACAGACCCCCCAAAGCUCAGAGACCAGGACCUGAACCAGGACCAGGACCCAGCUGUGUGUCCAUGAAGAAGUACUGACUCCAAGAAGUCCUUUGUGACCUUCCAACAGGAGCGUUCCUCAGAGUCAGCGAUCCACCACAGACCACAGUCCUCUGGACCUGAUCCUGGACCUGGAUCCAGUUGUGUGUCCUUCAGGAGUAACCGGUCCAAGGAUGACCC